CGGGAGUGGUGGUUGCAGGCUAGGGUUGCCAUACCCAAGCACUUUCGUAGGAAUUUUGACACGGUGGUGAUCUUGAUGCAUUGGAGGAUAUGGAAAGAAAAAAAUUCCAGGAUUUUUGAUCAGGUGGCAUGCUCGCCGUUCGGCGUCUUGAAGCGGGUAGUAGAAGAUGUGGCCAUGUGGAGGGCCGCCGGAUGCAACGUUGAUCUGGAAACUUAG
rnacentral:rRNA from 1 species